rnacentral:lncRNA from 1 species
UGGCCAUUAUCACCUAAAAAACUACUGUGUACAGACUUAUCUGUGCGGUUUGGGAAGUUUUAAAUGUUUUUAGAUAUAUAAAAGUUAAAUUUAUUUUGCAUAUCUGAAAGAUAAAAUCAUUUUUGGUGAAGGUCUGGAUUCAAAAUAUUUUUUUUGUCCUCUGCUUGAACAGAUUUUUUAUUCAUCAAUUUGGGAAUCAGGAUAUUUUUUUAGGAAAAAUACCAUAACCC